rnacentral:rRNA from 1 species
GAAGUUUCCCCUUCGGGGGACAAAGUGACAGGUGGUGCAUGGUUGUCGUCAGCUCGUGUCGUGAGAUGUUGGGUUAAGUCCCGCAACGAGCGCAACCCUUAAGCUUAGUUGCCAUCAUUAAGUUGGGCACUCUAAGUUGACUGCCGGUGACAAACCGGAGGAAGGUGGGGAUGACGUCAAAUCAUCAUGCCCCUUAUGAUUUGGGCUACACACGUGCUACAAUGGACAAUACAAAGGGCAGCGAAACCGCGAGGUCAAGCAAAUCCCAUAAAGUUGUUCUCAGUUCGGAUUGUAGUCUGCAACUCGACUACAUGAAGCUGGAAUCGCUAGUAAUCGUAGAUCAGCAUGCUACGGUGAAUACGUUCCCGGGUCUUGUACACACCGCCCGUCACACCACGAGAGUUUGUAACACCCGAAGCCGGUGGAGUAACCAUUUGGAGCUAGCCGUCGAAGGUGGGACAAAUGAUUGGGGUGAAGUCGUAACAAGGUAGCCGUAUCGGAAGGUGCGGCUGGAUCACCUCCUUUCUAAGGA